rnacentral:rRNA from 1 species
GUAGGUGGCAAGCGUUGUCCGGAAUUAUUGGGCGUAAAGCGCGCGCAGGUGGUUCUUUAAGUCUGAUGUGAAAGCCCCCGGCUCAACCGGGGAGGGUCAUUGGAAACUGGGGAACUUGAGUGCAGGAGAGGAAAGUGGAAUUCCACGUGUAGCGGUGAAAUGCGUAGAUAUGUGGAGGAACACCAGUGGCGAAGGCGACUUUCUGGCCUGUAACUGACACUGAGGCGCGAAAGCGUGGGGAGCAAACAGGGAUUAGAUACCCUGGUAGUCCACGCCGUAAACGAUGAGUGCUAAGUGUUGGGGGGGUUUCCCGCCCCUCAGUGCUGCAGCUAACGCAUUAAGCACUCCGCCUGGGGAGUACGGUCGCAAGCUA